AGCUUUAUAGUCAAAUAUGAUUUUAAAUUGCAAAUUUAAAGGUAAACUUAGUUUUAAGGCUU
rnacentral:tRNA from 1 species